GGCAUCAAUCUUUACGCCUCGUUUCGCUCACUUGAAUUGUUAAAACCUGAAAAUUUAGUUUCAACAAUUUCUUCUAGCAGAGAAUUUUUCAUCUGAUGCUAUUAUUGAAUGAAGGUGUGGUAAAUAUUAAUGAAACCACAAACGGCAAAUCCAAACUAAGUUCCCUGAAGUCGCAAACAACUUUCAUACUUCAGUACUUUGAUUAUAUA
rnacentral:lncRNA from 1 species